rnacentral:tRNA from 1 species
GGGGCUGUAGCUCAGUGGUAGAGUGCUUGCUUGGCAUGUGUGAGUCACUGGGUUCAAUCCUCAGCACCA